rnacentral:lncRNA from 1 species
GCAUUGACCAACUGAUCAUAAGCUUCUCCCCAUGCAUUCUUCAUAGCCGGUGACCACAUUUCAGGUACUGCUUCUUUUAUGGUCUCCAAAAGUGCAAACUUUGUCACCUUUACAAAUUCAAAAUAUUAACAUGAAUCUAUGUCCUACCAAACCUUAUGUCAAAUUUCAAUGUAAAUUUGAUAUAACAAGACUAAAUAAUACAUUGACAGUAGUAAAACAAAAAUAUACUAACUGAAAAUUUACGUACCUCAAAAUGCUCGUCUACUACACCAUAUUUAAAAUGGUUAGCACCUAAUUUUUUCAAGCUUGAUUCUCUGACCGUAACUUUACCGGAUUUUCGCAAUUGAACUGCUGAUUCACAUGUCUACAAUAACAAAAUAAUUAGCUGGUUUUUUCUUAUAUAUUUAAAUGGUGAAUGGUGACAAUUGACAAAGUCAAAGCUUGAAUGGUAACGGAUGCGAAAUGACACUAAAAAAAUUUAGUGACCAAUAAAAAUGAAAUCCGUCUCUAAUGUAUUCAGUUCAAAAUAUAGUUAUAUAAUUAGAGACGGAUUUCAUGUUUUCUUUUACUAAAUUUCCUUUGCUAAGUUUCUAGUAACUUACCAUGAGAAAGACAGACAUGGCAUGUGGCUUGAGCUUGGUGUUUUUCUCCAAAGGAACUUUUGAAUCUUUCAAGAAUGAGAACAGUUUUUGAGCUGAUGGAGCAAUCUCAAAUAUUCUACAAUAUUGAAAGUAUAUUUAGUUCAAUUAUUCAAAUAAAAAAGAAUGAAAUAAAACCUCUUGAGUUAAAAAUGUUGAAGAAAAACCUAGCUACACUUACUUCAAGAAAAGCUUUAGUCCUAACUCAGCAGAAUUCUUCUUCAUUGCAUUCCAUGACUUCACCACAAGAGCUUCUUGUUCUUCAGUGAAACCUUUUGUAUCCAAAGUGCCCAUAUUCUGAAGGGUAAGGGUUACGUGCUAAUUAAGGUAUGUGAUUUGUGGAUUAUUGUGAUGGGAGUGAGAAAAUGGUUGAUGAUGUUUACAAUUUUGUAGGAUAAAGGUUUUAUAGUGAGAUUAAUUGAAGAUGAAAUUGACCCUUCAUACCAAUGGGGAGUCAUUCAUACUUUCAUUCAUUCCAUAAUUUGGCAGCCAUGUUGACAUGUAUGUUUUUGCUAAUAGUAAAGUACUAUACCGGGGGCCUAAAAAC